GGCUGGUCCGAAGGUAGUGAGUUACCUCACUUGAUUGUUCAGUCAGUUACAGAUUGAACUCCUUGUUCUACUCUUUCCCCUCUUCUCACUACUGCACUUGACUAGGCUAAA
rnacentral:Y_RNA from 1 species